UGCAAGUCGAGCGGACAGAAGGGAGCUUGCUCCCGGAUGUUAGCGGCGGACGGGUGAGUAACACGUGGGUAACCUGCCUGUAAGACUGGGAUAACUCCGGGAAACCGGAGCUAAUACCGGAUAGUUCCUUGAACCGCAUGGUUCAAGGAUGAAAGACGGUUUCGGCUGUCACUUACAGAUGGACCCGCGGCGCAUUAGCUAGUUGGUGAGGUAACGGCUCACCAAGGCGACGAUGCGUAGCCGACCUGAGAGGGUGAUCGGCCACACUGGGACUGAGACACGGCCCAGACUCCUACGGGAGGCAGCAGUAGGGAAUCUUCCGCAAUGGACGAAAGUCUGACGGAGCAACGCCGCGUGAGUGAUGAAGGUUUUCGGAUCGUAAAGCUCUGUUGUUAGGGAAGAACAAGUGCAAGAGUAACUGCUUGCACCUUGACGGUACCUAACCAGAAAGCCACGGCUAACUACGUGCCAGCAGCCGCGGUAAUACGUAGGUGGCAAGCGUUGUCCGGAAUUAUUGGGCGUAAAGGGCUCGCAGGCGGUUUCUUAAGUCUGAUGUGAAA
rnacentral:rRNA from 1 species